rnacentral:rRNA from 1 species
AGUGAACGCUGGCGGUAGGCCUAACACAUGCAAGUCGAACGGCAGCACAGUAAGAGCUUGCUCUUACGGGUGGCGAGUGGCGGACGGGUGAGGAAUACAUCGGAAUCUACUUUUUCGUGGGGGAUAACGUAGGGAAACUUACGCUAAUACCUCAUACGACCUACGGGUGAAAGCAGUGGAUCUUCGGACCUUGCGCGAUUGAAUGAGCCGAUUUCGGAUUAGCUAGUUGGCGGGGUAAAGGCCCACCAAGGCGACGAUCCGUAGCUGGUCUGAGAGGAUGAUCAGCCACACUGGAACUGAGACACGGGCCAGACUCCUACGGGAGGCAGCAGUGGGGAAUAUUAGACAAUGGGCGAAAGCCUGAUCCAGCAAUACCGCGUGGGUGAAGAAGGCCUUCGGGUUGUAAAGCCCUUUUGUUGGGAAAGAAAAGCAGAAGGUUAAUACCCCGCUGUUCUGACGGUACCCAAAGAAUAAGCACCGGCUAACUUCGUG